rnacentral:rRNA from 1 species
AUUGAACGCUGGCGGCAGGCCUAACACAUGCAAGUCGAGCGAGCGGCGGACGGGUGAGUAAUGUAUGGGGAUCUGCCUGAUGGAGGGGGAUAACUACUGGAAACGGUAGCUAAUACCGCAUACCAUCAGAUGAACCCAUAUGGGAUUAGCUUGUAGGUGAGGUAACGGCUCACCUAGGCGACGAUCCCUAGCUGGUCUGAGAGGAUGAUCAGACACACUGGGACUGAGACACGGCCCAGACUCCUACGGGAGGAAGCAGUGGGGAAUAUUGCACAAUGGGCGCAAGCCUGAUGCAGCCAUGCCGCGUGGAUGAAGAAGGCCUUCGGGUUGUAAAGUACUUUCAGCGAGGAGGCGUUACCCGCAGAAGAAGCACCGGCUAACUCCGUGCCAGCAGCCGCGGUAAUAC